AACGCACAUUGCGCCCGCCAGUACUCUGGCGGGCAUGCCUGUUCGAGCGUCAUUUCAACCCUCAAGCCCUGCUUGGUGUUGGGGCCCUGCGGCUGCCGCAGGCCCUGAAAUGAAGUGGCGGGCUCGCUGCAACCUCCGAGCGUAGUAGUUUCUAUUCUCGCUAGGGAGGCGCGGCGCGCUCCGGCCGUUAAAGAACCCAUUCUUUAGCACAAGGUUGACCUCGGAUCAGGUAGGAAUACCCGCUGAACUUAA
rnacentral:misc_RNA from 1 species